rnacentral:misc_RNA from 1 species
CUGUGGUUGGCUCCUCUCAAAUGGAUCAGCUUGCCAGUGUUUGGUGGCAUCACAGGUGUGAUAAAUAUCUACGCUUGUGGUUUUCCACCAUGUAACCUUCAGCGAUGAAGGUGCACUGGAGCUCACAAAUGUCCCUCCUCAGUGAGGACAGCUUUUGAACGUUUGAUCUCAAAUCAGGUAGGAUUACCCGCUGAACUUAA